AUGAAAACAGGUUCGGCCCUUCGGAGAGCCGGCCAGGGCGCGGGGGCGGCCGGGGCUGAGCCGGGGCGGCCGCGGCAAGGGACGUGGUGCUGCGGUGCUGCCGGAGGAGCAUCGCCUGGUGCUGCCUCCUGCGUCCCACGGGGCCACCGUGUCUGCGUGGUCACAGCAGGGUUGGCACCCCUGGGAGCCUCGCUGGCACCUCGGGGUGCUCACGUCCAGGGUUUAUCCACCCCGAGCUUUUCUUUCGGCCAGCUGCACUCGCAGGUCCGAAAGCGGGACGGGGCAGGGCAGAAAGACAGCCUGUCCUCGUUGGUUUUGUACCGCAGCUCUGAAGGUUUGAACAUCUGGUGCCUGCUGGCAGGGACGUGGGUGCCUGCCGGCAUGGGAAGCCACCGAGGUGCUCCCCAGCUCUGGGGCCACGCGGGGACACCCAGCAAGGCAAUGGCACCGCUUGGGGUGGCGAUCUGCGGGGUCACAGCUCUGCAGGAGGGUGUGGAAGUCCCAUCACACCCAGCCUGGAGCCUGCAGACCACCAGGCGGAGGUUUGUGCCCGGCGUGGAGCUGUUGGACAGGGCGGGCAGGGGCGAACGGCCGCGCAGCCCCCUGCCAGCUGGCCUGCUGCCCGCUUUCCCCUGCUCUCUUGUGUUACUUAGGUUGGCAGGCGGCUGCGCGGGUGCUGCCAAAGCUGACGGGGCUGGGGCUCUGCUCUGGGCCCUCUUUGUCUUGCCUCGUGGCUGCGCAUCAGGUUGCUGGUCCACUGCUGUCCUCAGCAUCCUCUGCUGGCACACGGCAGCAGCGGGCCCCGGGCCAGGGCGGCCAUCAGACAGGUUCUCCCGGCCCUUCCCAGAGAGUUUGUGGCUUUUGGUGGAGCUGGUGCAUGUUUGGGCCAGUUCUGGCCUGGAAAACCCUUCUGCAGGGCCUUCCAGUUUGUCUCCUGGUGCUGCCUGCAGCCUUACUGGUGCUGCAGGGUCUGUUAUCAAAGCAACCAGCCUGCAGGUCUCUGACCCAGCCGGACCCACCCCUCUGGGCACGGUGUGA
rnacentral:lncRNA from 1 species